UGGAGUGCAGUGACAUGAUCUCAGCUCACUGCAACUUUUGCCUCCCGGGUUCAAGUGAUUCUCCUGCCUCGGCCCCCCAAGUAGCUGGGAUUACAGGUGCCCACCACCAUGCCUGGCUAAUUUUUGUAUUUUUUUUUAGUGGAGAUGGAGUUUCACCAUGUUAGCCAGGCUGGUCUCGAACUCCUGAUCUCAGGUGAUCCACCGGCUUCAGCCUCCCAAAGUGCUGGGAAAAGUUCCUUGGAAGUUGAGAUGAAACUCUCUGGAAAAGUUUGCUGUGAAGUAUAAGAUGGAAAAACUAAGGGCUAGAGAUAUAUUGUGACAGGCUCAAGCCCAUAUAGCUGCAAGUGGCAGCACCAGGAUUUGAACCUCCAUUGUCCAUCACCAGAGCUCGUGUCUGUACCACCAGACUCUCCUCAUCCUCAUCGUAAUGACUGACUUUCUCCCCACUGGACUGAGGGAGAGGACUGGGGUCUUCGCUACGCUAAAGUAUAUCUGCAGUUCCUACUGCAAUGGUAUCUGGCACAAAGAAGGCGCCAAAUGCAUUUUUGUUUAUUGGCCUUGAUGAAAGGAAGGAGGUGCUGGCAAAAUAUCAACGGAUGCGUGAUCUUUUAAAAAAUGUUUUGAAUCAUUGCUAAUUAAGCAGCUCAAGAAUUGAUUAAAGGGAUGGAACAUAGAGCCAAGAGGAAAAAAUAUGCAAGAAUGGAACUUUAAUGAAUCCAUUCAGAGGGGUGUGUGGGCAGAGAGUCACCACGGGAUAUGGUAUCUGGCUUUUCCCAGAAAAACUAGUUCAAUGACAAAACAAAUGAUCAUAGUGACAUUCUUUGCAUUUUGAUAUUCUUAGAUUGGUGGGCAAGAAGGAAACAUUAGGAAAAAGAGAAAAACUACAGUCAUUGCAACAUGCUGGAAGGCAUUGAAUACACAGACCUUUGGCUAAACAGUUGUGGUCUUUAUAAUUUUAACAUUCAUUUGCUACUUCAUUGACUAUUUACUAUGUCUUUAGUGUGUGUGCGUCAAUGCUCUAGGGAACAAAACAAAGUUGCUGACCACCUGGAGUUUAUAGAUGAGCCACGCAGGCUGAUAUGGUAGCCACAGGCCUCAAGUGGCCACUGAGCACUUGAAUGGGGCUGGUCGGGACUGAGAUAUGCUGUGAGAGUAAAACACACACUGGAUUUCAAAGACUUAGUUCAAAAAAUGAAUAAAAAAUAUCUCAUUAACAAUUAUUUUAUGUUGAUUACAUGUUAAAAUGAUAAUAUUA
rnacentral:lncRNA from 10 species